rnacentral:lncRNA from 1 species
UCCAUUCUGCAAGGAAUGUGCUGUUCAUGGGCGGUUUAGAAAUGCUGUCUGCUCUUUGGGUAUGACAGGGUCUCAGUUCUACUUGUAUUUAUUACAGUGAACACCAACUGAAAAUAUAUUUACAUGAGAAGUAAGCAGGAUCUGAGUUCAACCUUGCCUCCCUCUUAUUUUUUUUCCAUCUCUCUAUAAAAAUGCCGUUGCUGUUUCCAAGUGUUUGCUUGCUCUAGGAUCUCAGCAGAUCCCAGAAAGUAUCUACAUAAUGCUUCUCUCAUUCCUAUUAAAUAAUCUCUUCCAAUCCCACAGGAAUCCCUCUACCCACCUAAACGGAUGGUGAAAGCUGUUCAUCAACCCUAAGCCUGUCUGGCAGAUGUAACCGAGCAAGGCUUUCUGCUUCUGAAUUUAACUUGCAGCACCUGAGGUAAGGAGUUCAACGGGAGUUUCUUUCCUGACCAGUUAAAAUGACAAAUUGGUACAUGAGUGUUUAAUGAAAGAUGCUGGAAAUGUCCAUGAAGAUCAGAAAAAUCACCUCUUGGAAUUGACAGGCAGGCCAUCUGCAUUCUUGCGUUCCUAUUAAUUCCCUAACAAUAAACGACAGGAGAGCCUAGAGGGUUAAAAGCUUAAUUCAAUCUCCUAGAUUCCUUCCAGCAUCCUGUCUGCAUAUAGAAUGAGAAAGGCAUUUAUAAAACUGUUAUUUGCACACCAGAUUUUUCAUAUGGCUGCAUGCACCAGGUAUCAAUCACGCCCCUCUCAGCCGUGGUGUCACCGUGCAUCACACAGCCCUGCAGAGACUAAUGAUGCUCCUGCCUGUGACAUCUGCCACACAGAUUGAUGACAUCACACCCUCUGCAAGCCAUGUGAUUGCUGCCACAGCUCACAUGGCCAAAUUCGAUCCGAUUCUGUGUUUAAAAGCAUUCCUCCCCAUCCCUGGUAAUCAAUGCAGAAUGAAGAAAACGUCACAGAACAGAUGGACCAGUUUUAAUCUGAAGUCUCACAGUCCAUCUCAAGACCCUGAAGUGUAAUGGUGUGGCUGAUGCUUACACGGAUAUUUCUGAGCUGGCUUUUCUGAGCUGACAGCCCGGAUAUCAGUGCAGGCGACCCAGCUAUGUACCACUGGUUGGCAGACUAAAAGCCAGUGCUCUGUUGCUGUCUGUAUUGCUGCUCAGCAGUGCCUGACACACUCUGCUAUCACCACCUUGCAUGGCAGUGUUACCACGACACUGAGAAACAGCAUCAAGGUCCAUUUUAGCCACAAGCCCCCCAGCAUUUUGUCAUAUCUCAUCUUCACCCCAAUUUCAAAUGCUCACAGAGCUCUAACAUCACAACCCCUGUGUCCACCUGGACCUUUCCCCAGGACAGAUCUCUCCUUCUCAACCCACUGCUUCUCAGGUAAUGUGGGCUUUUGUCCUAAAUCUUUGUUUUCUCUCUGG